rnacentral:rRNA from 1 species
AGACCCCUUGAAGACGACGAGGUAGAUAGGCUGGGGGUGGAAGUGCAGCAAUGCAUGGAGCUGACCAGUACUAAUCGGUCGAGGGCUUAUCCA